rnacentral:rRNA from 1 species
GAUGAACGCUGGCGGCGUGCCUAAUACACGCAAGUCGAGCGAACGGACGAGAAGCUUGCUUCUCUGAUGUUAGCGGCGGACGGGUGAGUAACACGUGGAUAACCUACCUAUAAGACUGGGAUAACUUCGGGAAACCGGAGCUAAUACCGGAUAAUAUUUUGAACCGCAUGGUUCAAAAGUGAAAGACGGUCUUGCUGUCACUUAUAGAUGGAUCCGCGCUGCAUUAGCUAGUUGGUAAGGUAACGGCUUACCAAGGCAACGAUGCAUAGCCGACCUGAGAGGGUGAUCGGCCACACUGGAACUGAGACACGGUCCAGACUCCUACGGGAGGCAGCAGUAGGGAAUCUUCCGCAAUGGGCGAAAGCCUGACGGAGCAACGCCGCGUGAGUGAUGAAGGUCUUCGGAUCGUAAAACUCUGUUAUUAGGGAAGAACAUAUGUGUAAGUAACUGUGCACAUCUUGACGGUACCUAAUCAGAAAGCCACGGCUAACUACGUGCCAGCAGCCGCGGUAAUACGUAGGUGGCAAGCGUUAUCCGGAAUUAUUGGGCGUAAAGCGCGCGUAGGCGGUUUUUUAAGUCUGAUGUGAAAGCCCACGGCUCAACCGUGGAGGGUCAUUGGAAACUGGAAAACUUGAGUGCAGAAGAGGAAAGUGGAAUUCCAUGUGUAGCGGUGAAAUGCGCAGAGAUAUGGAGGAACACCAGUGGCGAAGGCGACUUUCUGGUCUGUAACUGACGCUGAUGUGCGAAAGUGUGGGGAUCAAACAGG